rnacentral:rRNA from 1 species
AUACAGAGGGUGCAAGCGUUAAUCGGAAUUACUGGGCGUAAAGCGCGCGUAGGCGGUUUGUUAAGUUGGAUGUGAAAGCCCCGGGCUUAACCUGGGAGGGUGAUUCAAAACUGGCAGACUAGAGUGUGGUAGAGGGUAGUGGAAUUCCUAGUGUAGCGGUGAAAUGCGUAGAGAUUAGGAGGAACACCAGUGGCGAAGGCGACUGCCUGGACCAACACUGACGCUGAGGUGCGAAAGCGUGGGUAGCGAACAGGAUUAGAAACCCGGGAAGUCC